GGGGUUGUAGCCUAGUGGUUAGAGCGUCGGACUCACGACCUGAAGGUCGGGGGGUUCGAUUCCCGAUCCCC
rnacentral:tRNA from 1 species